rnacentral:rRNA from 1 species
CGCGUAGGGUGCGAGCGUUGUCCGGAAUUAUUGAGCGUAAAGAGCUCGUAGGCGGUGUGUCGCGUCGUCCGUGAAAACCUGCAGCUUAACUGUGGGCUUGCGGUCGAUACGGGCAUCACUGGAGUUCGGCAGGGGAGACUGGAAUUCCUGGUGUAGCGGUGAAAUGCGCAGAUAUCAGGAGGAACACCGGUGGCGAAGGCGGGUCUCUGGGCCGAUACUGACGCUGAGGAGCGAAAGCGUGGGGAGCGAACAGG